rnacentral:rRNA from 1 species
CCCAGACUCCUACGGGAGGCAGCAGUGGGGGAUAUUGCACAAUGGGGGGAACCCUGAUGCAGCGACGCCGCGUGGGUGAAGGAGCGUUUCGGCGCGUAAAGCCCUAUCGGCAGGGAAGAAGGAGGACGGUACCUGACUAAGAAGCCCCGGCUAACUACGUGCCAGCAGCCGCGGUAAUACGUAGGGGGCAAGCGUUAUCCGGAUUUACUGGGUGUAAAGGGGGCGCAGACGGCAGCGCAAGCCAGGAGUGAAAGCCCGGGGCCCAACCCCGGGACUGCUCUUGGAACUGCGCGGCUGGAGUGCAGGAGGGGCAGGCGGAAUUCCUGGUGUAGCGGUGAAAUGCGUAGAUAUCAGGAGGAACACCGGUGGCGAAGGCGGCCUGCUGGACUGCGACUGACGUUGAGGCCCGAAAGCGUGGGGAGCAAACAGGAUUAGAUACCCCAGUACAG